rnacentral:lncRNA from 1 species
CUCACAUCCGACGUGUGUGGUUGCUCAGUAGGGAAAUGCUUACAGCUGCCUCUAGAAGCAAGUCCGCUCGCUGCAUGGAGAGGGAAACAUGAGCAUGCAGCAGGACUAGCUGUCACCUCCCGCCCGCCUGCCCAGAGAGGGCCAGAGCGUCGGGGAGGCAAGAUGAUCCACCAGCGGUUCCAUCCUACACUUGGAUUCAGUAAGCUGUGAGGUCCGUAAUGUCAGACACUGGCAAACAUCAUAUGUUCUUCAAGUAGAGUUAUGAAAACGAAGAAACUGGUCAGAAGAGUAAAACGCCGGAAUUGUCCUUUCCAACAUCCAGAGCUGCAUCAUUCCUUGGGGCAAAAUGUGGACAAGGCUGGAGAAAAUGGCUGAGAUUGGAGAGGAGGGAGCAGAGGUAGAGAGGAAGUCAAAACCUUGGAAUGGAUGACAUACCACUUCCCCAAUGAAUGAAGCUGCAGAUUCAGCCACAUGUAGUUGAUGUCGCCAUGUCAAGACUGCAUUUUUCCUUCCAAACACAGAAGUAUGGGGUAAACUUAAUGCAGGACUAUGAAGAUGAAGCCAUUGAGGCCCAAGACUUUAUCUUGAUUUCUUCAAUUCCUUGGAUAUGUUUACUCCCUCCCCACACUGGGCCCUUGUAGCUGCUUAGACUGAACCUACUGGCCCUUCUCUUGCUGGAAAGUUGCCCUCCAAGAAGUGCAAGAGCUCAGAUUGCACCUGCUAACUGUUAAGACCAGACUUGGCC